rnacentral:rRNA from 1 species
CGGGCCUACGGGGGGCAGCAGUGAGGAAUAUUGGUCAAUGGGCGGGAGCCUGAACCAGCCACGUCGCGUGAAGGAAGAAGGUACUUAGUAUUGUAAACUUCUUUUGUCGGGGAACAAAGGCGGAGACGCGUCUCCGGAUGAGUGUACCCGAAGAAAAAGCAUCGGCUAACUCCGUGCCAGCAGCCGCGGUAAUACGGAGGAUGCGAGCGUUAUCCGGAUUUAUUGGGUUUAAAGGGUGCGCAGGCGGGGGAUCAAGUCAUCGGUAAAAUGCCGGGGCUCCACCC